AGGUUUAAUGAAAGUGAAGAAUGUGGUUAGCACUCCCCUUGAGAAGAGUGGGAAAAAUUUUAGGGACCAACACCACACACAUACAUUUAAGAUGUCAUCAUGUCUUUACAGUCACCUACCAGUGUUUUUU
ensembl:snRNA